AUUCAGCUAACGAGUCCCAAAUAGGACGAAAUGCGCUUUAUCCUGGAU
rnacentral:hammerhead_ribozyme from 1 species